CCUACGGGUGGCAGCAGUGAGGAAUAUUGGUCAAUGGACUUACGCCUGAACCAGCCAAGUCGCGUGAGGGAAGACUGCCCUAUGGGUUGUAAACCUCUUUUGUCAGGGAGCAACGCCGGCUACGUGUAGCCGGACUGAGAGUACCUGAAGAAAAAGCAUCGGCUAACUCCGUGCCAGCAGCCGCGGUAAUACGGAGGAUGCGAGCGUUAUCCGGAUUGAUUGGGUUUAAAGGGUGCGUAGGCGGAAUGCCAAGUCAGCGGUAAAAUCGCGGGGCUCAACCUCGCUCCGCCGUUGAAACUGGCGUUCUUGAGUGGGCGAGAAGUAUGCGGAAUGCGUGGUGUAGCGGUGAAAUGCAUAGAUAUCACGCAGAACUCCGAUUGCGAAGGCAGCAUACCGGCGCCCAACUGACGCUGAAGCACGAAAGCGUGGGUAUCGAACAGGAUUAGAUACCCGUGUAGUC
rnacentral:rRNA from 1 species